rnacentral:tRNA from 1 species
GGGGGCGUCGUAUAAUGGUAGUACAGGGGUCUCCAAAACCCCUUGCGUGGGUUCGAUUCCUACCGCCCCUGCCA